AUUGAACGCUGGCGGCAGGCCUAACACAUGCAAGUCGAACGAGUGGCGGACGGGUGAGUAAUGUCUGGGAAACUGCCCGAAGGAGGGGGAUAACUACUGGAAAAGGUAGCUAAUACCGCAUACCAUCGGAUGUGCCCAGAUGGGAUUAGCUAGAAGGUGGGGUAACGGCUAACCUAGGCGAGGAUCCCUAGCUGGUCUGAGAGGAUGACCAGCAACACGGGAACUGAGAAACGGUCCAGACUCCUACGGGAGGCAGCAGUGGGGAAUAUUGCACAAUGGGCGCAAGCCUGAUGCAGCCAUGCCGCGUGUAUGAAGAAGGCCUUCGGUUUGUAAAGUACUUUCUUCGAGGAGGCGUUACUCGCAGAAGAAGCACCGGCUAACUCCGUGCCAGCCGCCGCGGUAAUAC
rnacentral:rRNA from 1 species